rnacentral:rRNA from 1 species
CGGUGCUUGCAUCGGGGAUUAGUGGCGAACGGGUGAGUAACACGUGAGUAACCUGCCCUUAACUCUGGGAUAAGCCUGGGAAACUGGGUCUAAUACCGGAUAUGACUCCUCAUCGCAUGGUGGGGGGUGGAAAGCUUUUGUGGUUUUGGAUGGACUCGCGGCCUAUCAGCUUGUUGGUGAGGUAAUGGCUCACCAAGGCGACGACGGGUAGCCGGCCUGAGAGGGUGACCGGCCACACUGGGACUGAGACACGGCCCAGACUCCUACGGGAGGCAGCAGUGGGGAAUAUUGCACAAUGGGCGGAAGCCUGAUGCAGCGACGCCGCGUGAGGGAUGACGGCCUUCGGGUUGUAAACCUCUUUCAGUAGGGAAGAAGCGAGAGUGACGGUACCUGCAGAAGAAGCGCCGGCUAACUACGUGCCAGCAGCCGCGGUAAUACGUAGGGCGCAAGCGUUAUCCGGAAUUAUUGGGCGUAAAGAGCUCGUAGGCGGUUUGUCGCGUCUGCCGUGAAAGUCCGGGGCUCAACUCCGGAUCUGCGGUGGGUACGGGCAGACUAGAGUGAUGUAGGGGAGACUGGAAUUCCUGGUGUAGCGGUGAAAUGCGCAGAUAUCAGGAGGAACACCGAUGGCGAAGGCAGGUCUCUGGGCAUUAACUGACGCUGAGGAGCGAAAGCAUGGGGAGCGAACAGGAUUAGAUACCCUGGUAGUCCAUGCCGUAAACGUUGGGCACUAGGUGUGGGGGACAUUCCAC